UGUGUAGCAAUGAACUCUUGUCAGAGUUUCAAAGGAAUUAAUAUUUUUUUUAGCAAAAUGUGCUAAUGUAAAGAGUCAGAAGAUUAGUGAUGCAUAAUGAAAGUAAUGCAUUCUUUCGCAUGGAAAUAGGAAUAUAAUAAAUGUCCUGCAGGUGAUUGGGGCUGUAGCAAUUUUAUUGAAGAUUAAAGUUUGAUUGACCUUUGUUAGGGUGAUUAACCCUUCUGAAAUUAAAAACCAGAGCUGAAUUGCUCUGUCUAAUUUAAAUGCAAA
ensembl:misc_RNA